rnacentral:rRNA from 1 species
CACGAAGGGUGCAAGCGUUAAUCGGAAUUACUGGGCGUAAAGGGUGCGUAGGCGGUUCGUUAAGUCUGUUGUGAAAUCCCCGGGCUCAACCUGGGAAUGGCAAUGGAUACUGGCUGGCUAGAGUGUGUCAGAGGAUGGUGGAAUUCCCGGUGUAGCGGUGAAAUGCGUAGAGAUCGGGAGGAACAUCUGUGGCGAAGGCGGCCAUCUGGACCAGCACUGACACUGAGGCACGAAAGCGUGGGGAGCAAACAGG